rnacentral:lncRNA from 1 species
AUCUGCCUCCUUGUACCGGUACACGGGUUCUUGUACCGGUACAAGGCCGACGAAAUUGCAAACCCGAGGCUCGGGUCGCGCGGUCUGCGGCUCUGUACCGGUACAAGCCCGAUGGCUGUACCGGUACAACCAUCAACCCUUGUACCGGUACAAGGCCAGUCUGUUCCGGUACAAGCCCUGCUGCAGGCUACCCGAGAGCUGUCCAAAAAUCCCGAUUUUGGGAUUUUGGUGCCAAGUCUCACUCCAACAUCCUCGGGAUGCGUGCCAGGGGUCGGAACACUAUCAACGACCCUCCAAAAACUGUGGAAAGGCUCCACACACAGAUCAAACACUCGAAUCUUGCAAUUUGCUAAGAUCCAGUGUAUUACAGUG